rnacentral:rRNA from 1 species
GACGAACCGUGCGAACGUUAUUCGGAAUCACUGGGCUUAAAGCGCGUGUAGGCGGGUGGGCACGUCGGCCGCUGAAAUCCCCCGGCUCAACCGGGGAAGGGGCGCCGAUACGGCCGGCCUGGAGGGACGUAGGGGGGGCUGGAACUUCCGGUGGAGCGGUGAAAUGCGUUGAGAUCGGAAGGAACGCCCGUGGCGAAAGCGAGCCCCUGGACGUCUACUGACGCUGAGACGCGAAAGCCAGGGGAGCGAACGGG